rnacentral:tRNA from 1 species
AGUGAGGUCAGCUAGUUAAGCUCUUGGACUCAUCUCCCAAAAACGUUGGUCAAAAUCCUUCCCUCACUA